rnacentral:rRNA from 1 species
AGGGUUUGAUUAUGGCUCAGGAUGAACGCUGGCGGCGUGCUUAACACAUGCAAGUCGAACGAAGCACUCACGACAGAACUCUUCGGAGGGAAGAUGUGAGCGACUGAGUGGCGGACGGGUGAGUAACGCGUGGGUAACCUGCCUCAUAGAGGGGGACAACAGUUGGAAACGACUGCUAAUACCGCAUAGUAAGAAAGAUUCGCAUGUUUCUUUCUUGAAAGCUUUUGCGCUAUGAGAUGGACCCGCGUCUGAUUAGCUAGUUGGUAAGGUAACGGCUUACCAAGGCGACGAUCAGUAGCCGGCUUGAGAGAGUGAACGGCCACAUUGGGACUGAGACACGGCCCAA